rnacentral:lncRNA from 1 species
UAUUUUACUCAUUUUUUCAUUAAUUUACUAGUUUUAUGUGUGAUUUACAAAUUUAUUGUUUCAUUUCACACUUAAUGUCAAUUUACAAGUUCUAUGUCAUUUUUCUAAAUUUUUAUUUUGUUUACAAGUUCUUCUUAAAAUUUACAACUCCAACAUUAAUUUACUCAUUUUUCCAUCAAUUUACUAGUUUUAUGUGUGAUUUACACAUUUAUUGUUUCAUUUCACACUUAAUGUCAAUUUACAAGUUCUAUGUCAUUUUUCUAAGUUUUUGUUUUGUAUACACGUUCUUCUUGCAAUUUACAACUACAACAUUAAUUUACCAAUUUUUCCAUCAAUUUACUAGUUUUAGGUGUCAUUUACAUAUUUUUUGUUUCAUUUCACACUUAAUGUCAAUUUACAAGUUCUAUGUCAUUUUUCUAAGUUUUUGUUUUGUAUACACGUUCUUCUUGCAAUUUACAACUACAACAUUAAUUUACCAAUUUUUCCAUCAAUUUACUAGUUUUAGGUGUGAUUUACAUGUUUUUUUGUUUCAUUUCACAAUUAAUGUCAAUUUACUAGUUGUAUGUCAUUUUUCUAAGUUUUUGUUUUGUUUACAAUUUCUUCUUAUAAUUUACAACUCCAACAUUAAUUUACUAGUUUUUUUUCUAUUUUUUAUUUUUUUUUAAAUUUUGUAGACCAAUUUACCACUCUAACGUUGAUUAUUGGCAUUUUAUGAUUUAGAUAGAAUGAUAUAAGGGUGGGCAUGAGUUGGGUUUGAUAGGGUUAGUGAAAUUCUAACCUGAUCUACUUUUUAAUGAGUUGAGAUAAAAUCCAUCCAACUUAACUAAAUAAACUUGAGAUAAAAUCUACUUUCUCAUCAUCUCUUUCUUCUUCCCUCUAUUAUCAAUGGAUUGUAGAAGCUCAAAUGAAGCAAGUAGCAGCAG